rnacentral:misc_RNA from 1 species
UUUUUUUUUAUUUUCUUUCCUUUUUCUCAAUUUUGCCUUAUAAAUUUGUGAGCGACGGUUUCGUUUCUCUCUACGAAAACCAAACGCUCUAUCUUAGCGUGUCUCUCUCUCUCGCUUUUUCAGUUUCCUUCUUCUUUCCCCCUCCUUAUUUGCUUAAGCUCUGUUUGUUUCUUGCGAAAAACUCAUCACUUGUUAUACUACCGUCUCUUUAUCUUUGACGGGUUGGUGUUGGUAUUGGUAUCUUAGUUCAGUGUAUUCACACACAUAUAAGUGCUAGAAAUAAAGAGGUUUAAGGAAGGGUGAGAAAUGGAGGAAAAGAAGGUGGCCUCGUCUUCCUCUUUCACUUCUGAGCUCUUUGGCUCCAAGGAUUCUACAUCUUCUACUGGGAUUUUUGGCUCUAUAUUUGCUCCUCCUUCUAAGGUGUUGGGGAGAGGGUUGCUGCGAUCUGAAGUGUUGGGAAAGAAGCAAGAUUAUGCAAAUGAAGCUUGGAACAUCAAACCUGGAACUCCAGAUGAAAUUUCUAAAAGCAAUCAGGGUGAAGGUCAGAACGUGCCAAGUAGAGAUACAAAUUCCUUUUAUCAGGAACAAAGAGUACAGCCAUGUCCUCUCAGUUCAUCAAUCUAUUAUGGUGGUCAGGACAUUUAUCAUCAUCCCCAGAAUAGCCAGAUCUCUAAUAUGACCUCAAUGGUCAGUAUAGAUUAGCAGAAUCUAACUGUUUAUAAUAUCAUGAAACAAUAGCCUGGAAGCACCCCCAUAUGCCCAGUGCAAGUCAUCUUGAUAAAUGGCUAACUGGACAUACGCUGUGGUUUUUCCUCUUAAGGAAGUUUGAUGAGUUUUUUUCUUUUCAUAUAUACGAUUUGAGAUGUAAAACUUUUCUCAUCUAGCAGAGAUUUUAUCAAUAAUAUUGUGUUUACUAAGUGUGUAGAUUAGUUUAACAUCGGGCAAGGAUCUUCUUAAUUAAAGUAACUAUCUGGACUUCUCCUUUCAUUUCUGUACAAAGCCUGUUUAUUCCUGGUAGGCAGGAGAGGAUAUUGGAUGCGCUGUCAGUGUUGGUCUGCUAAGCAUCAUAUCAUAUAUUGGCUAUGGUCUGUAAAUUGAGGAAUUUUCUGACAGUUUCUAUUCUCUCAUCAGGUCAAGAAAGAUGGGACAGAAGAUGACUCUGGGAGUGCUUCUAGAGGAAACUGGUGGCAGGGGUCUCUCUAUUACUAAGAUUUCACCUGCCAUGACAUACUUACCUAGGUAUUUGUUUCUUGGAGACUUUGAAUAAGGUUUUGACACUUCCUUUUUCUUUUUAUCUAUGCCCAAGGUACAAACUUCUUCAAGCUUCGUAUGUAUAAUUAAUGAUGCUCUUACCUCUUUGGUUGGCUUUAUUUUAGUUAUAGAGAUCAUAUAUUUUAAAAGACCUUAUUGAGUUCCUUCCCACCAUUGUUAGGACUACCGUGUACUUUUUACAUUUUUCUCCCAUAAAUUAUUAAUGACGAACUUUGUGACGAUGUCUUGCCAUAUUCAUUGGUUGUACUUUCCUAGUUUUUGCAAUGAGUUGGCCUUUUGAGUUGUAAUAGAAUAACUGGUCCGCCUACGCCUCCCGAUUUUAAUGCUCUGUUUCUGUUGAAUCACAUAAUUGCUGAUGGUUAUUAUCAAAUAGAAAAGGGUAAUUAAAGUUAAUCUGAUUUGACGCAAUAAGAAGCACACUGAAUCUCAUUUAACAUUGUAUUUCUAAUUUGUGUAUGAUAUAAGAUAUUUUCUUCUUUAAACUGGUCUGUGGAAUUUCAUUGAGCCCCUCUUCCAUCCUUAUUUAAUUGAUAAAAUUUUCCAUCUUUGCUUUGUAGGUUAGGAGCCUUUUCUUAUAUAUGGAAGAUGUGGAGUAGCAGGCAGAUCACAGCAGAUGGCGGGUUGUUUCUUCAGCCAAAGUCAUGCUAGCAUGAAAAAUUAGCUUGCCUGCUUUUUGUAAAUAUAUAAGAUGUUUGGUUUAGGACCUUAUAAGUAUGGAUAAAUAAUAUGCACUCCCUUUUCUCUACUCUCUCUUGCAUAUACUGUAAAUAUGAAGGGUUUCCUCUCUUCAGUUUCUUGAUGCUCAUUCGCUAAGAGAGUAGCCGAACAUUCUGGUCGCUAAGAUAUUCAUCCCUGAAAGCUACUACUCUCCCCUUCCACAAAGUCUACCUCAUCUUGGCCACGCAGCAGUAACUGGUUAGGACUUGAUUGGCCAUCGUGGGCUGUGGUCCAAUAUCACAAUAAUUAUAUUUCUUGCAAUGUGUCCACUGUUUUGUGUUCAAAACGUCCUGUCAAUAUUUCAUAUUCUGAGGUUAACGUCAAGUGUCUUUGCUUAUGUGUUCUAUUGGAAAUGUGUCCCACGUACUCGAUUCAGUCCUUAUCCGUGGUGU